GGGCCCGCACAAGCGGUGGAGCAUGUGGUUUAAUUCGAUGAUACGCGAGGAACCUUACCAGGGCUUAAAUGUAGUGGGACAGGUCUAGAGAUAGACCCUUCUUCGGACUACUUACAAGGUGCUGCAUGGUUGUCGUCAGCUCGUGCCGUGAGGUGUCAGGUUAAGUCCUAUAACGAGCGCAACCCCUGUUGUUAGUUGCCAUCGAGUAAUGUCGGGAACUCUAACAAGACUGCCGGUGCAAACCGUGAGGAAGGUGGGGAUGACGUCAAAUCAUCACGGCCCUUACGUCCUGGGCUACACACGUGCUACAAUGGCCGGUACAGAGAGCAGCCACUACGCGAGUAGGAGCGAAUCUUCAAAGCCGGUCUCAGUUCGGAUCGCAGUCUGCAACUCGACUGCGUGAAGCUGGAAUCGCUAGUAAUCG
rnacentral:rRNA from 1 species